rnacentral:rRNA from 1 species
GAAUCAUUGGGCGUAAAGGGUGCGUAGGCGGCGAUGUUAGUCUUCUGUAAAAUCUUUCGGCUCAACCGAGAGUCCGCAGGGGAAACGGCAUUGCUAGAGGACGGGAGAGGUUUCUGGAGCUCAUAGCGUAGCGGUGAAAUGCGUUGAUAUUAUGGGGAACACCAAAAGCGAAGGCAAGAAACUGGCCCGCUCCUGACGCUGAAGCACGAAAGCGUGGGUCGCGAGUGGGAUUAGAUACCCCAGUAGUCCACGCCCUAAACGAUGAUCUCUCGCUUUGAGGAGUAUCGACCCUCUUCGAGGCUAAGCAAACGCGUUAAGAGAUCCGCCUGGGUAGUACGGCCGCAAGGUUGAAACUCAAAGGAAUAGACGGGGACUUGCACAAGCGGUGGAACAUGUGGCUCAAUUCGACGAUAAACGAAGAACCUUACCAGGCCUAGAAAUCCAAACGAAGACCCGCAGAAACGUGGGUCGCCGAAAGGCGGUUGGACAGGUGCUGCAUGGCUGUCGUCAGUUCGUGGUUUGAACUGUUCUCUUCAGUGAGGUAACGAACGCAACCCCUGUUGUCUGUUAUAAGUGUCAGACGAGACCGCCCAGCCCUUUGCACAUGAAUACGUGCGCGCAAGCGAAACGAUUCGUGGUCAGAAGGCUGGGAGGAAGGUGGGGAUGACGCCAAGUCAGCAUGGCCCUCUGACGGCCUGGGCUGCACACGUGUUACAAUCGCAUCUACAACGGGACGCAAUAUCGCGAGAUGGAGCAAACCCUUAUAAAAGAUGCGCCAGUUCGGAUUGGAGUCUGCAACUCGACUCCAUGAAGCCGGAAUCGCUAGUAAUCGCAGGUCAGCUAUACUGCGGUGAAUACGU